UAAUUUCUGACUUUAAGAAGUCAAUAUCUUUUUAGAUAUGAAUGGAAUUUUUAGACAACUAUUUAUUUAAAACAUAUAUACCCUUGGAAAUAUGAAGUAUUUUUGAAACAUAAGUUUUCUGGUCAGAAAAAUAGUGGGAUAUUUAAUAUUUAGAAGGAUGCUUUAGAAAUACAGAAUUGACUAUGGUAGAGUAAAUGCGAUGAGUUAGAGACAAAGACUUGUUUUAAAACUGUUCUGUUAGAUAGAAAUAGACUUCUAAAGUGUAGUGGACAGGAGUAAUUGUGGACAAACUGGAAAGGAGCAUAAGUAUGAUGAGUCAUUACAUGAGCGGGAUCAGUGGUCUUUUCCAGCACUUCUCUGAGUUAAGGACUGGGUUGAAAGGGGUUAUGGACUAUAAGAAGGAAUGCUGUGGCCUGAUAGAUCAUGGACUUGUGUUUCUAGAGAAUACAAGCAGGGUGGUCUCUGAUGCUUAAGUAGGGAGGAUUUAAUUUAAUCAAGGGAGAAGCAAUGUGUUUUGUACACAGCAGGUGUUCUGUAAAUGCUUAUUGUUCACAAUGCAGCUCACAUCUGAAUUUGUGAGGGUUUCACAGAUGCUAAAUUCCUGAAAUGCUUUUUUUUUUUUCUUUUGCUGUUACUAUACUCUAACAUUCAGUCCUGUUUUGGAUUUUCUUCAGGAUGCACAUGCAUACUUGAGAACCUCCUGGAACUAUAAUGCUAUGCCCAGAUUGAGAAAAUGUCAUAGAUAUGUCUAUUUCCUGUAGGCUGCUGAGGAUAAUAAAGUCCACAACAGGAUUUUUUUUUUUUUGAGGGGGGGUUAUAAAUAUUUAGGUGAUAUGUCUGCGAAUAUUGGUCCUUGGUAAUUUUCAAAACUAGUGUCUUUUACCCUGUAUAGUAUUAUAUAUCUCAGAUCAACUGUCCCUAAACUCAAUUUUGUAGGAUUUGGAAUAAAGUUAGUUUCUGUUCAAUUUUUAUGUCUCUGAAACUCACAUCUUUGUUGGUCUAGAGACUAGAGUUUGUUUCUUAAGGAAGUGAGGCAAGACCUGUUGGUCAGAAAGUAUUAGCAGUAAACCCAUCUGCUCAAGUUUUACCUAACAAGUCAAAUUUUGUCUGUGGCAAGAUCAAAUGAAAUGCCAGAUUAUUUCUAAUUUAAUUUUUGAUUAUCUAGAUCACUGGAGAUGCCCCAAAAGGUCAAGAAAUAUUGUGGAUGAAAAUGAACUUUCUCCUUAAUAUAUACACAUACAAAUGCAUAUAUACUUUUGGAAUUUGGUGACUCAAGAAAAUAAUGGUUCGUAUUGGAUUUCACAUGUAAAACAUUGAUUUAGAUUAGCUAACACUAAUGGUAACAGUAUUUUUUAGGGGGAAAAAUUGUUUGGUGUCCAAUGAGAUAAUUUUCAUUAUCAUAAUAAACCACAUACAAGAUAGCUAUACAAGACACUGUGCUCAGUUAAUGGUCUAACAAAAGAAAUGAGUCUUUGAUGUUCAAUAUAGCAAUUACAAGCCAGUGUGUCUACCUAGCACCUAAAAUAUUACAAGAAUUUUAAAUUUUAUUUGAUUUUAAUUAUUUUACAUUUAAAUUAAAAACCUCAUAUGUAGUUCUGUUAUUAGAAAACUUUUAUGAAUGUUUGAAAUAAUUUGGGUAUGUCAGUUUACUUUUUGAGUACAUUCUGUAAAGUCUAAAUACAGAGCAAGUAUUUCCUAUGAUAAUUUAGUGUCUGAAUUGAGAUGUGUUGUAUGUGUAAAAUACAUAUUGGAUUUUUAGAAAAAUUAAAAAAAAAGAAUGUGAAAUACCUCAUUAAUAACUCUUUUCCAUUGAUUACAUAUUGAAAUGAUAAUAUUUUACACAGUGAUUAGGGAAGCUUUCUCUGAUGAGAGUUGAGUAGAGAGCUGAGGGGAAGGAGGGAGUAAGGCUUAUACUUUUUAGAAGACGAGUGUUACAUCAAGUACAAAGGUUGUGAGGUAGCACAAUGCUCAGCAUGUUCCAAAAGUAGCAGAGUCUUAGUGCAGAACUGGCUGGAGCAGAGUAAGUACAGAGGAGAGCUGUAUGGGAGAUAAGUUCAGGAAUGGAGCUAUGCCAGACUGUAUAACAUGCCAUCAUAUAACUUUGGAUUUUACUUUGAGUGAGAUGGUAAGUUAUUGGAGGAAUAUAAUAAAGAGUUGACUUAAUCUGACUUAUAUUUUAAAAGGAUCACUCUGGCUAGUAUUCAAGAUUUGACUUUAUGGGACAAAGAUGAAUGCCAUUUAGGAGGAUACAGCAAUAAUCCAGGUGAGAGAUGAUGCUGGCUAGGACCAGCAUGAUAGAGGUAGAAGUGAUAAGAAGCAUUUACAUUCUGAGUAUUAAAACUACAGGAUUUGCUGAUGUAUUGAAUAUGAGGUGUGAGAGAAAGAAAGGAGUGCAGGAAGACUUCAAGAUCUUUGGCUUGAAAAAUUGGAAAGAUGAAGUUACAAUUUACUCAAAUAGGGAAGAAUAUGAUCAGAACACAUUUUGGGAAAGACAAAAGUCAGGAGUUCUGUUUGGAGUAUUUAGAGAUUCCUGUUAGCUACCUAUGGUGAGAUGUCCAGUAGACAAUAGCCUAUGUGAGUCUGCAGUUCAGGGCAUGUAUUUAGGCUGGAAGUAUACUUUGGUGUCAUUAGUAAUACAGUUGAUAUCUAAAGCAAGAAACUGGAUGCAAUUGCUAGGUCACGAAUAUAGACAAAAAAGAUCUGAGGAUGAGCCCUGGGAUGCUCCAACAUCUAAUAUUUGCAGGUUGGGAAGAUGAGGAGUAAUAAGCAAAGAAACUGAAAAGGAGUUGCCAGUGAGGUAGGAGGAAAACAGCACAUGUGGUAUCCUGAGAGCCAAGUCAAAAUGGUGUUUCCAAGAGGAGAGAGUGAAUGAGAAUUUCAAAUACUGCUGUUAGGUCAAGUAGGAUGAUGGGGGCAAAUGUCCAUUUGAUUUAGCAACCUGGAGGUCACUAGUGACUUUGACAAGAGUUAUUUCUCUGGAGUGUUGAGGAAGGAAGACUAACUACAGAGUUCAGAAGGCAGUUUUGAGAAAAAAAAAAGAAGAUGGUAUAGAUACUUCUUUUGAGGAGUUAUGCUAUAAAGGAAACAUAAAUAAGAUGAAAUCUAGAAGAAGAUAAGAGGUCAGGAAAUAUUUUGAUUUUAUUUUGUUUUAAAGGGGGAAUAUAGGGCAGUUGUAUGCAAAUGGCAAUUAUCCAUUGUGUAUAGGAGAGCGGGGAGAAUUGCUGCAACAACACAAUUGAGCAGCUGAGAGAAGAUGGCAUCUUGUGCACAAUUGGAGAAGCUGGCCUUUGGGAGGAACAAUUGUAGUAACAGGAAUAACAUUAGAUUCAAUAAGUUAAUAGUAUCAAGUCAUUAGUCACCAAUUUUCCAAAUUGUACAUCAGAUUUUUUUCUUUAAAAAUGCAUCCUUCGACACAUUAGAAGACUCUCAUUCUCACUCCGUAUUAAGAGAAAUGGAAUGAAACUUCUAUGAGAAACCAUUUUUCAUCCAUCAAGCUGGCAAAAAUUGAAAAAAGUUUGAUAGUACACUGUUUAGAAGAUGGUGGAGAAAUUGUUAUUCUCAUACACUGUUGAUGGGAAUGUAAUUGGUAUAGGCUGUAAGGAGGAAAAUUUUGCAAAUAUUUAUCAAAUUUACAAAUGAAAAAUACCUCAUAUCAGAAAUUGCACAGGUAGCUUCUUCUAUAGAUACACUUACCUAUAUGGGAAAUGGCACUUAAUAUUUAUAGAUGGUGGAUGGAUAUAUAAAUUGUAGUGCACCCAUAUAAUGGAACAGAAUAUAAAACAAAUAUGUUAAGUCUUUUUUUUUUUUUUUUGUCUUUUUGCUAUUUCUUGGGCCGCUCCCGCGGCAUAUGGAGGUUCCCAGGCUAGGGGUCAAAUCGGAGCUGUAGCCACCGGCCUACGCCAGAGCCACAGCAACGCGGGAUCCGAGCCGUGUCUGCAACCUAUACCACAGCUCAUGGCCAACGCCGGAUCGUUAACCCACUGAGCAAGUGCAGGGACCGAACCUGCGACCUCAUGGUUCCUAGUCGGAUUCGUUAACCACUGCGCCACGACGGGAACUCCCAAGUCUUUUAUCUAUUGAUACAAAAACAUCUCUGAGAAGUAUUUGUUAAAAAAGUCAGUUAUGGAAUAACAUGUACAGUUUGCUAUCAUUUGUGAAAAAAUAACAUAUUUGUUUCAUAUACAUAUAUUUGUGUAUGUCUAAAUAUCACUGGAAAGAUAUAUAAGAUAUUUUAAGUAAUAUUACAUGGAAAGUGUUGGCUAGUUCAUUGUUCAUGUGAUAGUCCAUUUUAAUGAUGAGGUCUAUCUUUGUAAAAAC
rnacentral:lncRNA from 1 species